UACAGAGGAGCCAAGCGUUGUCCGGAUUGACUGGGCGUAAAGCGCACGCAGGCGGAUGCGCGCGUGGGGUGUGAAAUCUGGCCGCUUAACGGCCAGGCGCCAUCCCAUACGGCGCGUCUGGAGUGAUGCAGAGGUCGGUGGAAUUGCCGGUGUAGUGGUGAAAUGCGUAGAGAUCGGCAGGAACACCCAGGGGGAAACCAGUGGACUGGGCAUGUGCUGACGCUCAGGUGCGAAAGCGUGGGGAGCGAACCGG
rnacentral:rRNA from 1 species